CCUCCAUAGACCCUCCAUAGACCCUCCAUAGACCCUCCAUAGACCCUCCAUAGACCCUCCAUAUACCCUCCAUAGAUCCUCCAUAGACCCUCCAUAGACCCUCCAUACAUCCUCCAUACAUACUACUGUGACACAGACUGACCAGGUGAAUCCAGGUGAAAGAUACGAUCCCUUUCUGAUGUCUCUUGUUAAAUCCACUUCAGUCAGUCUUAGGUGAAGGGGAGGAGUCAUGUUAAAUCCACUUCAGUCAGUCUUAGGUGAAGGGGAGGAGACAUGUUAAUGAUGGAUUUUUAAGCCUUGAGACAAUUGAGACAUGGAUUGUGUAUGUGUGCCAUUCAGAGGGUGAAUGGGCAAGACAAAAGAUUGAAGUGCCUUUGAACGGGGUAUGGUAGUAGGUGCCAGGCGCACCAGUUUGAGUGUGUCAAGAACUGCAACAAUGCUGGGUUUUUCACUCUCAACAGUUUCCCUGUGUGUAUCAAGUAUGGUCCACCACCCAAAGGACAUCCAGCCAAACAUGACACAACUGUGGGAAGCAUUGGAGUCGACAUGUGCCAGCAUCCCUGUGGAACACUUUUAACACCUUGUAGAGUCCCUGUGGAAGGCUUUUAACA
ensembl:lncRNA